UGGGGCGCGAGAGCGGGAGGUGCUCUCUCACCUUCUUGUCGAGAUCUCGAUCUCUCAUUCUUGGCUAAGCUCUAGACGUUCGGAAUUCGACGGUAACUCGACGGAGGACAAAGUGGGCGACGAUGCUUCGAGAGAGCGCGAACAUUUCGCGACAGAGUAAUACGCCGGACGGAUUGAUGGCCGACGUGUAAGCGUGCCUUCAGGCGGUGGAAAGAAGACGAACGAGAUAAGGAGGAGGAGGCGGAGGAG